ensembl:snRNA U6 U6 spliceosomal RNA
GUGCUCGCUUCGGCAGCACAUAUACUAAAAUUGGAACAACACAGAGAAGAUUAGCAUGGCCCCUGCACAAGAAUAACAUUUUUGAUCUCUUUAUUUAUUU